UUAACAUCGGUUUUGUAUUGAAAACCGAUGUUGGGUUUACAUUUAAAAAUAUUAGAACGUGAGCCCUAUUUUGCUCGCGCUCUCUUCUUCUUUGUUUAAGCUUCUUCUUCGCGACUGUAUCUCUCUGUCUUUGCAACCUUAUCGAGACGUUGAGAACUUGCCACCUUUCGUGACUCUGUCUCAGGUACUUUUCGAGACAAUGUCUCUUGUCUUUAACAUAUUGUAAUUUUUAUUAUGAAUGUAGCAAACAAUGCCCUAGUGAGAGGGACUAACGCUAGCUAGAUUGGGUUGUGUUGUUGAGCCUGCAGAUUUUAUGCAUGUUUAUAGCACGAAAGCAUACUACAGAAAACAUCAAGAGAUUGAUUUAUUUGGGGAAAUUUCGGGGGUUUCUUUGAGCCCUGAUGAUGAGUGUAUGUAUAUUGGAAUGUGGGAUCGAACUUAUGCAAGCUUGCUUUAGUAUAAUAGGAAGCACCAAUAUAAAUAUCUUGAUGCCUACUAUUGAUAUAUAGCAUUGAACAUACAUUAAACUAGUUAGAGAGAAUAAAAAUUGCUGAUAAUAGUACACUCCAUAGGUAGUCAUGAUGCGUAAACCACUACUGCAAGAAAGCACUUUAAAUUAUAGUAUUAGCUAGUAAUUUCUGUGGUUGUCUUGAUCAUGCUUGGCCUCACAUGACUGACAGGUGGCGAAUCCAUCUGCCUAUAUAGACCCUUCCCCAUAACUUCCUUUUUUACUACUUCUUAAGAAAAUUUCUAAUAGGAAACAGUAGAAGAAAAUUACCAUGAGACUUCCAUGGCUGAGAAUGAAGGGUCAGUUAAAGAGAGUUAUUGUGUUAAAUGUGUUUAAAAUGUAUGAGUUAUUAUUCACUUCAUAUCAACUUGUAUAAUGAGAGUCUAGAACAGACCAUUGCAGUGAAAAUUUCUCUGGACACAAAUGAUUUUGGGGUUUGAAUAAAGUGCGAAGUUGCAUGGAAGAGGCAGUCCAUGCCAACUUUCGUAGCCGAGAAGGGGCAAAACAAUAGUCCCUUUGACCCUGUGUAUUCUGUUGGUGGCAGUUUGACACAAAAAAAAGGACAAUCUCCCUUGAUGUUGUUGCAUAUAAAAAUAAACAUUUACACCUAUAUCAAAUUCAUUUAGAUUUCUAAGUUCAUCAAAUGCCUUUUAUCUCAUUUUUCCCAUCAAUUAUAUCUUUCUAGUCAUCAUAGGGGAUGAAGUGUUACUAUAUUAUACCACUCUAGCUGUUAACACUACAAUUUCAUGAAACUUGGAUUGUAGCAACACCUAAUUCUAGUUCCAAUUUCAAUUAUGAUUAAUUAAUAAAUUAAUUAGAAGAUAAGUUUAAGAAGGAUUAAUCUGUUAUUAACAAUGAUAGUAUUGUAUGCAAUUGAAUUGUAGAAAGGAGUGGAAUGAUACCUGGCAUGGCUUUGGCUCUUAUGCACUGACAUAUAGACUGCCAUGGCUUUGGCUCUUAUUCGACUAGGAAAGAAUUUUGGUAGAAGGAGACCUGGAACUGGGCCAGCCCCAAGAGCAAAUGUUAAGACAAACCUGCAUGAAAUAAGUAUAAAUUAAGUGUUCAUAUGCCAGCUAUAUUCAUAGAAUCAUAGUUGCAUACUCACAGUAACAUGGCACCAACAUAAAAGUACUAAGCUUCCACAUUUGAUACAAGUGAAGUUGCUCCUGUGGCUUGAAGGAUCAAUGUUAUUUUCAUUCUCAUGCAUCUUCUUGUUGUAAUUAUAAUGUUGUAAUGGUCUCUUAAUAAAUGGGGAAUGAUUGUUUGUUUCGUUCUCCGUUUGGUUUUUCAACUCUAGGGCUGGUUAAAGAUGAACAACUUUAUUUUAUUUACUUUUUUUUUAAUUUGAUGCAUAAUAAAUGAGUGAAACUGGAACUUGGGUUUUGCACUUUCAAUUCUCAUUUCAUUAUACUUAUUAUUAUUAAGAGCUUGGAUAGGAUUGAUGUGAAACGGGAUUUUGUUGCAAGUUUGUAGGCCUUGUAACUACUCUUUCCAUUUUGUGUGCAGUUCAAGUUUGAAAGCAGUUUAUCUUUCGUUCUUGCAUUUGUGGUGUUUUGUGUCUUCUUGUGUAAUUAAAUGAUAGUUAUUUCUUUAUCGCAAGAGCCUUGCCUGUUGUCCCAUAUACAAAUUUAUAACAAGUCUGUGCUUGAGUGGGAAAUCGUGGUUGGCUUACAUUACAAGGUUGGUGGCUGAAAGUUGUCAACCAAUUAUCAUUGGCAAUUCAUGUUCUUUUUGUCAUGUGUUUUUAUUAAGCUUGUGUGUGUGUCAACUGUCAAAUCCUUUAGGGUCCAUUUUUUUAGCUAGUCAAUGUUUUAUUAAGAAGGAAAGUAUAUAUAUGGUAUGCGUGCAUGUAGCCAACAUUUUUUUAGGUUUGAUUGUUUUUGAAAAAAAUGCCAAUAUAUAGUCCAAUGACCAAACAAAUUAACCAGUAGGUACAACAAAAAAUUGAUAUUUGAAAUUUAGGAUAUGAUACGACCUAGAUACGUUAACAAUAAUUGAUAAAACAUUUUAUAUGUUAGGAAAUGUAGCAGCUGGUUCACAACAACAACAAAAAGGAGUGAUGAGUGAUGCAUUAAGAAAUAGAAUGAUGUUUGGGGCUAGGAAUGGCUACAACCUAGCUAGGGAGGGUAAUGUAGUAGGAUUUGAGCAAAGAAACAAGUGAUGGGGCCUAUGUGGUGUGAGUGAGUUGAGUGCUCAUGAGUUUGGAGUUUUCUGUGUUGGCAUGGCGGAAAGGCACUAUUGUGUUCGUUGCUUGCCCACAUGGUCAUCAUAAAUGUCAACUGCUUCUAAGUUUUGGUUUCUCACCAAAUGAUUUUUUUUCUUUGUCAAAUAAAUUUAAUAUGGAGUAUAAACAUUGUUAAUCUAGUUUUAGUGCCUAUUACAGUGGUAUUAUCAAGAUGUACUUUGUAUGAAAUUGUUUUUGAAGUAUGUUAUUUAUACAUAGGGUGAUAACUUGCUACUUUGAAUCAGAACAACACUAGGUCACUAACCUAUUUGUUCCAAAUUUCAAGCCUUAACAAUUAUAAUUUGUAUGUCAUAUGCACAUCUAGGGCUUGCAAACUCAGGAGUUACAAAUAAAAUAUUGAUUCCAAACCCACUUACAGUAGUAUGUUGUAAUUAACCCACUUAGAUUUAUAUUUUCUUUAUGUUGGAUUUGUUUAUUAUACUUGCUACUAAACACUCAAAAUUCAUAGUUUUUUAUAUGUGAUUGAAUUUUACUUGAUAUAUCAAAGUUUGUGUUAUAUCUCACUUAGCAUUGAAAUAUUUAAUUUGUAGGCACUAUUUUUCUAGUGGUUUGCAUCGUGAUCACGACGUUCGUUGUUGGACACUAUAUUGAUCAUCAUCACAAGUACAAAAGUUUUUCAUAAACUUUUGAUGCUUAUUUUUGCUACAAAUGUUUUCUGGAGGAAGCAAGUUGAUGGAGGUUAUGAAUAUCUAGAAAACAAGUUGAUGGAGGAGAAAAAAAAGAAAAAAGUGGAGGAAGCUGCUCAAUUCGGAAACACUAACACCGUGAUUGAUCCUCCAUCUCCCAUUAAACGACACGUGAAGUGGAAGAUGACCCGCACCAAAAAAACUGAACAAAUGACGUAUGAGACAACAAAGGAAAUUGCUAACAAGAUUGAUUUGUUGGAGGAGCAAGCCUCAUAGGGUUCCUUUGUCGGUCAUGGACGUCAGGAUGUACUGAUUGCUGCCAUUGGGCUACCAGAACACCUUGGUCGUGUGCGUGCUUUUGGAGCCAGUGUGACGAUCAAACAAUACUUUGGACCAGCUCCAAGGACCUCCUGCACGUCUUCGUGCAUGGCUCCCGAAGACCUAGAGCAGCUGACGCAAAAAAUCAGGGACUAGCUAGAGGAGUUGAUCACGAAAAAAGUGACUCGACAACUAAUGUUAUCCUUCAGCCAGAUGCAAUUCCAGUUUUAGUCCCCAGAUGCAAUCACAGGGACUUGCACUGCCUCCUAAGCCUGAGGUUGGUCCUUUAGUUGCUCGUGUUAGCACAAAGGAGAAUUGUGUUUAUUCCUCAGGGAAUGAUCCAGACACGGGUGAUCAUGAUGUAGAUGAUCUCCUAUAUUUGAUGACAUUGAUCAUCCCACAGCUUUUUCUUAAGCCGUUGUAGGUUAUGUGAGAUGUUAUCGUGUUUGGGGUGUUUAAUGACAAAUUCCCCUUGUACAUAAAACAUAAAGAUCUAUAUGAAAUAACACACAGUGGUCAAUGUCUUAACAUCUCUGUUUUACA